AGUAGUAAUGCCACCAUUAGGACUGUGCAGACCGAAGUUCGUCUGCAGUGAAAAAUAGAAAAAUCACGAUCAGCAACUCACGUGGGGCGUCUUCACCGUUGACACUUCGGCAGGGCUAGUGUCUGCCUUGGUCUGCCUACGCAAAUCAGUGUUGGAAAUGUUUCAGCCCUGCUGUUGCAUGAUCUUAUUAACAUUUGGAAAAGGAGUCCGUUAACAUAAAGUUUUCUUUUUUAUUUCGAUUGCCAGUGUGUGCUUUCCACUGGUGUCCCGUCCUCUUACACGUGGUUGAUAUAAAGAAGAAAGUCAAGAGAAUGUUUGGAACCGCCAAAAACUCCCUUAUUGGUACCUGAAGUGAGGCAAUGGCUGUAUCACCUGCAUUGGAUGUGUAAUCUCGCCAUGCUGAAAAGGAGUGUGAUACAAGAUAAUUGUGUCCUGUGUUUCUCUCUCGGGCCAAUCUAGGUUGGGAUCAGCAACCCCAUUAGUGUCAUACAAUGUUUGCUUGCAGUUGGGGCCAAGAUGAAAUGUUUAAAGACCUUUUGUCAAGAGCUUUACACUAUAUAAUAUCAGUCAGAAGCUGGGUGGCUCCCAUAUCCAGUUGACAAAAUAACAAAGGCAAGAACAAAUCAUUUCAACCUUGGCCAUAUCCUCUCGGUCAUAUGCUUGCAUGCUAUGCCAUUGUUUUCUCUUCUGUCUGACAAGAGUCAAUAGAUCAUAUUUGACUUCAACGUCUGAAAACACUUGGCCAUGUUCAUGCUGAUGGCUAUGUUUAUACAAUCAGUUAAUAUUUUCAUUUUUAAUUGUGCUGUAUUGAAGUGAAUUCACAUGUCACAGCGUAACAGCAUUUCAUUUGAAUCUGGCCAUUUCAGAGUUUGAUAAACUUUUUAAAAUGUGAAGUAAGCGAUGCUGCCUAUGACAGGGGAAACAGAAUCCACGUCCGUCGUGUCCAACUCCAAUAGAUUACCAAAAUCAGCCGAUCGAAUUGGAAUAGUUUUUAGUUUUUUGGACCUUUUAUGCCGAGAAACUGUGGAUACCACCUGACCUAAUGCUGUUUUGCUAUUACUAUCCUAUAAACAAAAAUAAAAAUAAUUGGACGCCA